CUUCCUUCCUUUCUUUUUCUUUCUUUCUUUCUUUCUUUCUUUCUUUCUUUCUUUCUUUCUUUCUUUCUUUCUUUCUUUCUUUCUUUCUUUCUUUCUUUCUUUCUUUCUUUCUCUCUCUCUCUCUUUCUUUCUCUCUCUUUCUCUCUCUCUUUCUUCUUUCUUUCUUUCUUUCUUUCUUUCUUUCUUUCUUUCUUUCUUUCUUUCUUUCUUUCUUUCUUUCUUUCUUUCUUUCUUUCCUUCUUUCCUUCUUUCCUUCUUUCCUUCUUUCCUUCUUUCCUUCUUUCUUUCUUUCUUUUUCUCUCCAGUGCAGCAUCAAAACCAGAGGCAGAAAAUCAGGACUCAGCAGGUUUAAUGCAUUCUUAUUGUUAUAUCUUCACAUUUUCUCUAGUUCUUGCUCCAAGUUUGGGCUGGUUACCUGGGUCCCAUGGGCUUUUUUCUGAGAACAGAGUAUUUGUGCUCCAUUCUCCUAUUGUUAAGGGAACACACACUUUUUGCUUUCAAAAGCAGAUUCUUCCUUUGCCUUUCUGUUUAGAAUUAAUCCAUUCCUGCCUCCUAGCAACCACUUACCAUUGCAUCUACAGCCAAGACAGCAAGUAAACAUCCGCUGUUUUAUACGACAGAAGGAAGGUGUGCCACCCAAAGGAACCUGGACAAGAUUGAAAAGUGGGCCCACAUGAACACAGCGAGGUUCAACAAUCCAAGUCUAAGGUAUUGCACUUGGAUUGGAGCAGUGCCAGACAUCCCAGACUGGAAGAAGGACAUGGAGGUUUGGAGGACAAAAAGCUGGACAUGAGCCAGCAGUGUGCGUUUCCAGCUCAGAAGACCUACUGUAUUCUCAGUUGCUUCAAAAGAGGGAGGGCCAGCAGGGAGAGGGAAAGGACUGUUGCCCUCUGCUUUGCCUUCAUGGGGCCCUGCCUGCAGCACUGCUUCCAGGCCUGGGGCCCCCAGCACAAGAAAGAUGCUGAGCUGUUGGAGCGGUUCCAGAGAAGGGCCAUGAAGAUGAUCAGAGGGCUGGAGCACCUCUCUUACAAAGACAGGCUCAGGGACUUGGGAUUGUUCAUCCUGGAGAACAGAAGGCUCCUGGAGGACCUCACUGCUGCCUUCCAGUACUCAAAAGGAACUUGCAAACAGGAGGGAAACCAACUUUUUACAAAGGUAGAUAGUGAUAGAACAAAGAGGAAUGGCUUUAAACUAAAAUAAAGGAGGUUUAGGUUAGAUGUUCGGAGGAAAUUCUUUACUCCAAGGGUGAAGAGGCACUAGCACAGGCUGCCCAGAGAAGCUGUGAGUGUCCCAUCCCUAGAGGUGCUUAAGGCCAGGUUGGAUGGGGUCCUGGGCAGCCUGAUCUGGUGGGAGAAGACCAGCCCACGGCAGGGGAGGUUGGUACUGAAUUGUUUUUAAUGUCCCUUCUCAUCUAGGCCAUUUUGUGAUUCUGCGGUCCCUGAAAGAUAUUUGUAGGGUUUUUUUACAAUAUUGUUUUGGAGUGGUAACAGUUCUGAAAUUGUGGAAUUCCCUAGAAAAUAGAAAAAACUGUUCCCUCUCAGCACACAAUGUGUUUUAAAAUGUCUAGCAGUUCCUCAGUUUUCAAAAAAGCACACACAUGAUGCAUCCCACAGCAUCUGGUAGGAAACGUAACAUGAGAAAUUCUCUUGAUUAUACAGCUGGAUACAACAGGGCCACAGAUUCAUAAGUAAGCUAUUAAAAUUGUAAGGUCAAUGCAUUUUUCUUUAUCCUGGUAUGUCAUUUGUAUGCUCCAGCAUUUUGUCAACUAAGCCUUUUUUCCUCUUGAGCAACCUUAUUGACGAUAAAAUGUACGAAAUCCAGGUGUAGCCUUGCUUGCAGCUUAAGAAAGCCUUUGAAGAGGCCACAGAAUCAUAUAUCAUUAAGAACUGCAUGAAGUAUCAAAAAAACUUUUGGCCAGCCCAACAAGCCUGCAAAUAAAGGCCAUGCCAUCAGUCUGGAAACAUGAAGCAGCCCAUCAAGGUUAUUUUGGUAUAUUUUGCAUUUUAGCACUUGACUACCAGGUUUCUUUCAAAACCACCACUAAAACACCCAAUUUCAGCAGUGAUGUAUGAAUGAGGCUCAGUCUGCAAAUCAAAUAGUUUUUCAAGUUCAGGGUUGAUUGCAGCCAAGCCCUUUCAUCAUCAUCAGGGUGUGCGAUAGGUAAAUGGCCUAAUUCUCACUUCUACCAGAGUGCCAGUGCUGAUACAGCCCUCACUAUCAUUGUGAUUAUAAAGCUACCUGACAGCGAUACAACACUGUCCUCUUCUAAUACAGAAAUAGGAGUUAACAAUACAUCUGCAUUCACACUAUGGCCAGUCUAAACUUGGACGUUUUACUGGCAGAGACAUGCUGGUUCAGAGUGCAGAGAAAAGUGUCACACACCUCUCUGACAGCUGUGCUGGCAGGCACCCUGGAGGAGUGCUUAGAUAGACAAAACAAGUUUCUGCAGGGUAGAAGUAGCUGUCUGCAUAAGCUUGUCUCAUAUGAGAAGCAGGGUACUUUGAACUGGCUUAGCACCCUUUCACUGAGUUUGACCCAAUGUCUAAAGCCAUAGCUGUGUCAUUAAAGAUACUUAAUUCCAGGAAAUAGUAAAAGCAGUAACAGCGAGAGAGCUCUUUUGCCAGUAUAGAUAUCUUCCCUCAAGGGUAGGAAGUGCAUCAGUAGAACUACCAUAAAUAAGAUCUGAAGGGCACGGGUUAUACCUCUUGAACUACAACAAUGUUGUUAAAAUGGUCCAGAAGAUGAGGCAGUCUGAGACUACUCUUUGACUGCAGAUGACUUCAGUUAGAGAUGCUUUAGGACAAUGUAUCAAAAUAGCUGUAGAUUAUUAAGCUGUAAGUUUUAUUAGGUGGUUUCAAUAAUGCUGUUGCAAGAGAGUAAAAUUGCAGGCUCAGACAGUGACAGUGAAGUUGAACUCAAACUGGGAUGGGGAUUCCCAAGGAUGGCAAAUUUGGACAUCCCAUUUGUGACUCAGAAGCUGAGGAGACUCCAAAAGCUUCCCUGCUGCCUUGUGUACAAAACUCUGCUGUGUACAUUCUUCCUCCCAUUGUUUUACAGUGCUAAAAUUAGUGCAGAGCGACUGUGUAAACAUGUAUGGCAAUAAAGAAACUUUGCUGAAUGUGGUUUUGUUUUUCAUAAUUUCAGCAUUCUGCUCUGAAACAGAAAACUGUUGACAUUAAAUCAGACCUUCAUCACCCUGCUAGAUGCCCUGACCUUCUGCAGCAAAUCCUAGAAAAGAUUUUGACCUUUUCAUGACAAAGAUGUCCUAAAUGUCUCUCCAAAGGCCUCAGCUGCAACUCUCAAGUCAAAGGUAAUGAUGGUAUUUGGAAUCUGCAAGAUAACAGUGUAACAGGAUCUGUCAGCUGGACAUGGAGGAGCAAUCCUUGUAAGAAACACAUUCUGUCUGAACACAAUCCCAUUUCAUACUUGUGUUCCCAUGAGUCUCAUGUGGACAAUUCAUAAGCACCAUAUAAAGAAUGGAUUCUGAUCAGUGCUGAGGUACUUUGAAUUACACAGCAUCUGAAAAAGCACAUCUUCUAUUCUAGAGAUUGGUUCUGCUUUCCGUGAACUUCCAAUUGAACAAGACUCUCCAGGAACAAGGCUGCUGAAUAGAAUUAGACAAAUCCAAGACGUGGAACAAAACUUUGAACUUUGUGGGUUUUUUGUUUGUUUGUUUGUUUUGUUUUGUUUUUGGGAGAGUGCUGUUUUUUCAUUUAAAUCACCAAAAUGCGUGCAGAGCUCAUAUCCAAAUCAUUUCAUGGACAUAUAAGUAGAUUUAGUAGUGUUACCUGUUAUAUAGGUAGUGCUUGAAGAUGCUACUCUCAAUUGUUUAUACAGUUGGAAAAAAAGCUCACUUGGGCUGGAAUUUUCUUUGCUGGUUACCUAUUGUAGGUUUCCGAAUGUUCUUUAAACUUCAGUCCAAAUCACUUCUAAGAAUUAUUUCUAAAGGAAAUCUGAAGACUGUACAGAGUUGCUCCAAUAAACCUCAUGCCUGAUACAGUGGAAAUCCCCACACUUGCUGUAAACAACUGGCUCGGAGACCUGAAAGCAAUCUGACUGUUGCAAGCCUACUUUUGUUGUUAUUUCACAUUUCUCAGUUCAUCUACAGUAGACACAGUCUGAAACUGUGUGUGAGCCAUUUAAUUCUCUUAUCAGUUAUGAUAGCAUAAUACUAAUUUUGGAAAUUGAAAUACCUAAGAAAAGAUGCGUGCCAAUACUCAUCCUGUGGAAAACAGCCCUCUGUUCUCUCACUUGUGUAAGCAGCUGGCAGGGGUACACGCCAGUACUACAUCAUGUCCUGUCAGUGGUCUGUUUUGUCCUAGAACCCAGGAAUAUCCUCAGGUUAAUACCAUGGCAGCAAAGGGACUUUUGCAGAGAAAUAACCUUUGUCCUGUCUCUUGUUAGCUGCUGGUGUCCAAUUGGGAUGAUGAUUUUUCUAUCUGGAAGUAUUCCUGUUUGUACACUGAUCUGACCCUAUAGCAUUCAC
ensembl:lncRNA